GGCAUGGUGGCUCAGUGGUUAGAGGGCCCGCCUCAUGAACGGGAGGUCGUGGGUUCGAACUCCGGCCGAGUCA
rnacentral:tRNA from 1 species